GAUGAAGAACGUAGUGAAAUGCGAUAAGUAGUGUGAAUUGCAGAAUUCCGUGAAUCAUCGAAUCUUUGAACGCACAUUGCGCCUUCUGGUAUUCCGGAAGGCAUGCCUGUUCGAGAGUCAUUAACAACCGUUUCGAUCCCUUUCUUUCAGAAAUUACAAAGAGGAAAAGGGUUUGGUUAUGGUGGAGGAGGGAAAGGGAGCGUUUAGCCUGUAAAAAAAGAGGCUGUGUUCCGCCUCCCCCCCAAAAUUGUACAGGCGGUCGUGUGCGCCCACGCAUCGAGGUGUUGUAAAAGCUGCCACGGCACUUUUCACCUGUGCAGUGCGAGAUUGGCCAGCCGGUUUAAAAACCCCUCCAAACAAUCAAAGGUUGACCUCGGAUCAGGUAGGGAUACCCGCUGAACUUAAGCAUAUCAAUAAGCGAGGA
rnacentral:misc_RNA from 1 species